rnacentral:piRNA from 1 species
UUCAAUAUCAUGAUGUGCAGCU